CAAUACCUAUCUCGCGGAGGUGCUUAUUCAGCUACGUGUGUGUGUCACGGAAAAGAUGGCGAAAGGGGCCCCGUAGAUCCUCGAUACGUUGUAUCUACAACACCGGGAAUUGGCUGUUAUGUCUUUAAUAUGUAAAAAACUCCCUACAUGUGUACCUUUCUUGUCUUUUCUCGCAGUACUGAAAAAGGCUUUUCCAUAUCUUUUGAAUUUGGUUUGAAGUGCUGGAAGUUGUAAUAGGGUUCGACAGAUCGUCAGCAUUGUGAAAUAUGAUGCCAGGGAAUAGUUGUUUUGAUUUGCAAGGCUCCAUGAGGGCUAAUCAUCAACAGCUUCAGCAUUAUCAGUCUCAUUCGAAACAAGGGGCAAUUAAUGCAAAUUUCCCCCUCACUAUAGGUAGUAUGCAGCAGGACUGUAACCAGAAUAUUUCUUUGGCUGAUCAUAGUAAAGGCGAGAGGGGUAAGUCUGCAAGUGAUGAAGAUGAACCAAGUUUUACUGAAGAUGGUCUCAAUGACCUGAAUAGGGGAAAAAAGGCAACCCCAUGGCAGCGUGUGAAAUGGACCGAUCAGAUGGUGAGGCUGUUGAUAACUGCUGUUUCUUACAUAGGCGAAGAGACUGCUGCAGAGUAUGGUGGAAGAAGAAAAUGCUCUAAUUUGCAUAAGAAAGGGAAAUGGAAGUCAGUGUCAAAAGUCAUGGCUGAAAGGGGUCAUUUUGUUUCACCUCAACAGUGCGAGGAUAAAUUCAGUGACCUAAACAAGAGGUACAAAAGACUCAAUGAGAUCCUUGGCAGAGGAACUUCCUGUGAGGUAGUUGAGAAUCCUGUUCUUUUGGAUAUGCUGGAUCACGUAUCAGAGAAAGGAAAGGAGGAAGUUAGGAAAAUCUUAAGUUCAAAGCAUCUGCAUUAUGAAGAGAUGUGUUCCUACCAUAAUGGGAACCGCUUACAUCUGCCCCCAGACCUUGAACUGCAGCGUUCAUUACGCUUGGCUCUUACAAGUAGAGAUGAGCAUGAUGACAAUGAUGUUAGGAAGCACCUGCAAGAUGACAAUGAUGAAGAUGAUCACGAAACUGACAUGGUGGAGGAUGAGUAUGAAGAGAGUCAUAGCUUGCCUAGGGAGCACAGGUUACAUGGGAUGUCAGGAGGUUUUUCAAAGAGGAUAAAACAAUGCCAGGGUCAUGAAAUUGUUACUUUUGGUAAUUCCUUGACUACUCUCGAUGGUAAUAGGACUUUCAGUUCUCAACCUCAGAAGGCAAACACUGAUGCCAAUCAAAUGUUUUCCGAAGGCAACAAAGCUGAUAUUCUGCAGAAACAGUGGAUGGAUCAUCGUUCGUUUCAGCUAGAAGAACAGAAGCUACAAAUUCAGGCGCAAAUGUUGGAAUUGGAGAAAGAGCGUUUCAAUUGGAAAAGAUUUAGCAGGAAAAAGGACAUUGAAUUGGAAAUGAUGAGAAUGGAAAAUGAGAGGAUUAAACUUGAGAAUGAAUGUAUGGCAUUGGAGUUGAAGCGAAAGGAAAUGCUUGCUGACAAUGUUUAGGCUGUUGCAGUUGCGAAUGCUUAGCUGUAUCAGGGAGUGUGCAUCAAAGUUUACAUUUCUUAGGGAAGAAGGAAAACCACCUCAGAAUCAGGGUCCUCUUCAGAGCUGGUUCUAGGAAGUCCUCAUUAGUUUUAUCUGCUGAUGUUUCUUACACACUAUCAAACAUAGCUCUAUCAUUGAGGAACUAGUGUGUGCAUCGAAUUUUCCUUUUUUUUAGGGCAGAAGGAACACCACUUCAGAAUCAUGUUUUUCCUGCUAUAUUAACGGGAUAUUUUAAGGCAGUACCUUACAUAUAUAAAUGGCUUUUCCAUUUGUGGUCUUCUGAGAAGCAAAUUGUACUCAUCUUGGAGUUUUGCAAUGGAAAAGUUCAUAUUGGUGGAUAUACAAGGUAUAAUUUGAUUAUUUUUUCUUUCCUUAUAAAAAAGGUAUCAUUUGAUUACUGAUUUAUUCAUUUCUUUAUCCAAUGUUGCUUCUGCUCUUAAUUUCUCCAAGUUGAUGUGUUUUGGUUUGAAGGGAAGUAUUUGAAGAUCUUUCUGGAAGUGCGGAAGUGUUUUCUUCUUUCGAAUAUCAGGUCAGUCAUUUAUUGAAUUUUCAUCUUUCGAAUAUCAGGUCAGUCAUUUAUUGAAUUUUUGUUUGUAAAAAAUAUUUGUUAUCCUUGGUUAUUAGUAUAAGUUAUUACCUUAGAUCUACCUCCUUUACAUUAUAGUUUAGAAUAUCAAGUUAUCAUCUUGGACUAGUGUCGUUCUUUGUUUCUUUCUAGGGUACCCCUACUCUCCGCCCCCCUAGCUCAAUGCAGCGGGGAGAAGUUCUUUAGUAAUGGGUGAGGGGAUGAGAAAGUGAUGGAGCAUGAAAAUGUGCGAUCUCUUUCUGGAGUGCACAUAUAGUUUAACAAAUAGCAUAUAUACGAAAAUCACUAUACACUUACGAACAUGAGUUCCAUGUAUCGAUUUUGUAUGACAAAGGUAGGCUAACUCUCAUUGUUCCCACAUUACCUUUUUUAACACAAAGAAGGUCAAUGAGGGACACUCCCAUGGGUCUCAUUGAGCAUAUACAUGAAGGUGAGACAACAAGUGGCUUUCCUAAGGGCUAAGGCUAUGGACCUUGGCAUUCACACCUUUGUUGAGUAGUCACAUGUUUUAACUGAGACAAUCUCUCAUAUCCCAUAUCUUCUGUAUAUUUAAUAGGAAAAGUCUUUCUUUAUAAAUUGAGUGUUCUAUUUUGUCAUAAUGAAAACUACAAUGACUAAGUGUUUCACUAAAGCUUAACAUAAAGGCAGAAACAUGAUGGCAAAAUUGCUACUAAUAUCAUAUUGAAACACAGAAAGCUGUGUUCUAAAUUAAUUGAUGCAAGAAUUAACAUAUACAAACAGUAUUACAUAUCUAAAGAAGGAACAAUGAUAGCCAAAUAGUACAAGUACAAUUUUACUUUGUCUUCAAAAAGCACGAGUACAAUUUUUCACCAAAAGCAUGUAAUGCAGAGAGCAUUUAUAGGAGUGAUUUCGAAUAGAAAAGACGAAACAACUAUGACCAAAUGGUGUAAACCUUUAGAAGCAGGAGAAGUCAUAAA